rnacentral:rRNA from 1 species
AAGCCCAGACGGCAAGGGAUGGGGUCGCGGCCCAUUAGGUAGACGGCGGGGUAACGGCCCACCGUGCCCGCGAUGGGUAGCCGGGUUGAGAGACCGAUCGGCCACAUUGGGACUGAGAUACGGCCCAGACUCCUACGGGAGGCAGCAGUGGGGAAUUUUGCGCAAUGGGGGAAACCCUGACGCAGCAACGCCGCGUGCGGGACGAAGGCCUUCGGGUUGUAAACCGCUUUCAGCAGGGAAUAUAGUGAAGGUACCUGCAGAAGAAGCUCCGGCUAACUACGUGCCAGCAGCCGCGGUAAUACGUAGGGAGCGAGCGUUAUCCGGAUUCAUUGGGCGUAAAGCGCGCGUAGGCGGCCCGUCAAGCGGGGUUUCAAAUCCAGGGGCUCAACCUCUGGCCGGACCCCGAACUGGCGGGCUCGAGUGCGGUAGAGGAAGGUGGAAUUCCCAGUGUAGCGGUGAAAUGCGCAGAUAUUGGGAAGAACACCGAUGGCGAAGGCAGCCUUCUGGGCCGCCACUGACGCUGAGGCGCGAAAGCUAGGGGAGCGAACAGGAUUAGAUACCCUGGUAGUCCUAGCCGUAAACGAUGGGCACUAGGUGUGGGGGAGCAUCUCCUCCGUGCCGCAGCCAACGCAUUAAGU